ACCAAGUGCACAGAGGACCAAACUCCAGCUUGCAAUAAACGACUCUUUGCUGUUUGCAUUGAUCAUGGUCUCUGGUGUUCUGAGAGGGGGCGUCCAAAAACUGGGCACUUUAUGUGGGAGCUCCUCUGGGAUAGCCCCCCCAUAAGCCACCCAAAUACCUGAUCAGCGAGUCGUCCAGCUAGCCGGUGACCCCGUCAACCAGCCCUUCUGCAACAGAAGGUGUUCAAAAGAUCCGUUGGUGAAUUGCCUUGCUAAACAAGCAAGCCUGGGAAAAUGAAGCUUAACAAAGGAUGUUCCAGGAAGAUUGCGGAAGAGAAGCUGUAGGCUAAACAAGCUCUGGCAUAGAAAGCAGUUUUAGAGUUCCAGGGAAAAGUCC